rnacentral:lncRNA from 1 species
GUGAGCUGAGAUCACGCCACUGCACUCUAGCUUGGGUGACAGAGUGAGACUCCAUCUCAAAAAAAAAAGUGGGGGGGCAACAGAGUGUAAAAAUGUGGAAAAUUUGCAGCUGACCAUGUAGUAGACAAGAAAAAACCAUUUAUGGGGAGGAAUUUAAGCCAGCUGCAGAAAUUUGCAUGAGUAACCAGAAGCCAAAUGUUAAUAGCCAGGACGAUGGGGCAAAUGUCUCCAGGGCAUGUUAGAGACCUUCAUGGCAGCCCCUCCCAUCACAGACCUGGAGGCCUAGUAGGAAAAAAUGGUUUUGUGGGCCAGGCCCCGCUGCUGCUCUGUGUUUGUAGCCUUGGGACUUGGCACCCUUCAUCCUAGCUGUGGCUGAAAGGGGCCAAGGUACAGCUUGGAUCAUGGCUUCAGAGGGUGCAAGCCCCAAGUCUUGGCAGCUUCCAUGUGGUGUUGGGCCUGCGGGUGCACAGAAAAACAAGAAGUGAGGUUUGGGAACCUCUGCCUAGAUUUCAGAGGAUACAUGGAAAUGCCCAGGUGUCCAGGCAGAAGUCUUCUGCAGGGGCAGAGCUCUCACAGAGAACCUCUGCUAGUGCAGUGUGGAAGGGAAAUGUGAAGUUGGAUUUCUCAUGCAGAGUCCCCACUGGGGCACUGCCUAAUUGGAGCUAUGAGAAGAGGGCCACCAUCCUCCAAACAGGUUGCACCAUUAGCCUGGAAAAGCCGCAGAUACUCAAUGCCAGCCAUGAAAGCAGCCAGGGCGGGGGCUAUACCCUGCAAAGCCACAGGGGCAGGGCUGCCCAAGGCCAUGGGAGCCCACCUUUUUCAUCAGCAUGACCUGGAUAUGAGACAUGGAGUCACAGGAGAUCCUUUUGGAGCUUAAAGAUUUAAUGACUGCCCUGCUGGAUUUCAGACUUGCGUGGGGCCUGUAUCCCCUUUGUUUUGGCCAAUUUCUCCCAUUUGGAAUGGGAGUAUUUAUCCAAUGCCUAUACCCCCAUAGUAUCUUGGAAGUAAUUAACUUGCUUUUGAUUUUAUAGGCUACUAGACAGAAGUGGCAUGCCUUGUCUCAGAUGGGACUUUGAACUUGGACUUUUGGUUUAAUGCUGGAAUGAGUUAAGACUUUGAGGUACUGUUGGGAAGGCAUGAUUAUGUUUUGAAAUGAGAGAAAAAGACUUGGGAGGGGCCAGGGGCGGAAUGAUAUGGAGGCUUUGUGUUCCCACCCAAAUCUCAUCUUGAAUUGUAAUCCCCAUAAUCCCCAUGUGUCAAGGGAGGGACCUGGUGGGAGGUGAGUGGAUCAUAGGGGUGGUUCCCCCGAUGCUGUUCUUGUGAUAGUGAAUGAGUUCUCACAAGAUCUGAUGGUUCUAUAAGCAUCUGGCAUUUCCCCUGCUCACCCUUCUCUCUCUUAUUGCCAUGUGGAGAAGGUCCUUGUUUUUUCUUCACCUUCCACCAUGAUUGUAAGUCUCCUGAAGACUCGCCAGCCAUGUAGAACUGCAUAUUCUCAGUUUGGGUGUGGUGGCGUGUACCUGUGGCCCUGGCUACUCAGAAGGCUGAAGAAGGAGGAUCCCUUGAGCCUGAGAGUUUGAAGCACAAGAACCAUCAAUCAGCACAGAAGACUUCUGUGACCCCAAACUAUGUGGGGAUUUCUCCCUAGCAACAAGCAAGCAAUCAGUUUGGCAACAAACACUGACUGGAUGUCUUCCAAUUCAAUUCCAACACUAUCUACCUGGAAAUAGUGUCUGAUCCCACAGGGUAAGGGCUCAGCCCCCCAAAGAUUGUCCUCUUUCCCUCUCCCAACACUGCUAGACACCAGUCACAGGUCUGGGGCCUCUGGAACUUCUGACAACUGGCUUCAAGUUGGGGUUCCCACAAUCCCUCUUGGGGUUCAAUUAAUUUGCUAUAGUGACUCACAGAACUCAGGGAAACAUGUUUACCAAUUUAUUUUAUUACAAAGGAUACAGAUGAAGAGAUGCUCAGGGUGAGGUAUGGGGGAAGGGGCACAGAACUCCCAUGCCCUCCCUGGGCGAGCUGCCCUCCAGGAACUUGCAUGUGUUCAGCUAUCCAGAAGCUCUCUAAAUCCAGUCAUCCUGGCUUUUUAUAGAAGCUUCAUGACGUUAGCAUUCCUUCCCCCAGGGUAUGGGAUGGGACCCUCUCUGGAAUGGUGGUCUUAUGACCCACAAUCAGAUUACAGACCUGCCUUGGGGCAGGUGAAAGGAACACUGGAGAAAGUCAGAGAGGCCUAACAUACCAACAUUGUAACAAAAGACUGUAACAAGGACUCUGGGAGUUAUGAGCCAGGAAUCGUAGAUGGAAACCUAUACAUAUGUGUGUAUUUAUAUCUAUUACCACAUCAAGGAAAGGUUUCACACACUGGUAUGAAACUGGAAAUAAUUAACAGGAGAAAACUUGGAAAGUUUGCAAGUAUGUGGAAUUAACACUCCUGAACAACCAAUGGGUCAAAGAAGAAAUCAGAAAUAUCUUAAGACAAAUGAAAAUGGAAACACAACAUACCGAAAUUUAUGGGAUGUGGCUAGGUGCAGUGGCUCAUGCCUGUAAUCUCAGCAUUUUGGGAGGCCAAGACUGGCACAUCACUCGAGGUCAGGAGUUCAAGACUAGCCUGGCCAACAUGGUGAAACCCCCAUCUCUACUAAAAAUACAAAAAGUAGCCUGUACUAAAAAUCUGUACUAAAAAUAUAAAACAAUUAGCUGGGCGUGGUGGCGUAUGUCUGUAAUCUCAGCUACUCAGGAGGCUGAGACAGGAGGAUUGCUUGAAACCGGGAGGCAGAGGUUGCAGUGUGCCAAGAUCGCGCCUCUCCACUCCAGGCUGGGCGACAAAGCAAGACUUCGUCUCAAUCAAUCAAUCAAUCAAUGAGAGUGGAUGCAAUAUUAUCCCUAUAAUAAUAUUCUCAGUACCUUGCAUUCAUAUAUGCUUUUAUUACUUUGGCAAGCAAGGAACACUGGGUAUUGCACAUAACUUGAAGCCUGUUUAUCUCAGUUAAGUUGCUGCCAGUAAUCUUGGUCACCUUUCAGGAGUGUUACAGAUGAACAUCACCCAUUCUCUAACUUUAAUUUUUCUAAAUUAAAUGAAUUAUGAAAUAUAGUUGACCCUUGAACAAUGUGGAGGUUAGGGGUCAUCAACACAUCCCUCACUGCACAGUCAAAAAUCCACGUAUAACUUUUGGCUUCCCAAACACUUAACUACUAAUAGCCUACUGUUGACUUUACUGAUAAACCAUCUAUUAACACAUAUUUUGUAUGUUAUAUGUAUUAUAUGCUGUAUUUUUUAACAAUAAAGCAAGAAAAAAGGAAAUGGGCCGAGUGUGAUGGCUCACACCUGUUACCCCAACACUUUGGGAGGCUAAGGCGGGAGGAUUGCUUUAGGCCAGGAGUUCGAGAACAGCCUGGGCAAAAUAGUAAGAGUCCGUCUCUUAAAAAAAAGGUAAAAAAAAAAAUUUUUUUUUUUUGAAACAAGGUCUCGCUCUGUCACCCAGGCUGGAGUACAGUGGCACGAUCUCACCACAUGGCUCACCACAGCCUCAACCUCCUGGACUCAAGUGAUCCUCCCACCUCAGCCUCCCAAGUAGCUGGGACUACAGAUGCACGCCACUACACCCAGCUAAUUUUUAUUUUAUUUUAUUUUUUUCGUAGAGACAGGGUCUCACUAUGUUACUCAGGCUAG